rnacentral:rRNA from 1 species
UACGGAGGGUGCAAGCGUUAUCCGGAUUUAUUGGGUUUAAAGGGUCCGUAGGCGGAUCUGUAAGUCAGUGGUGAAAUCUCACAGCUUAACUGUGAAACUGCCAUUGAUACUGCAGGUCUUGAGUGUUAUUGAAGUAGCUGGAAUAAGUAGUAUAGCGGUGAAAUGCAUAGAUAUUACUUAGAACACCAAUUGCGAAGGCAGGUUACUAAGCAACAACUGACGCUGAUGGACGAAAGCGUGGGGAGCGAACAGG